rnacentral:rRNA from 1 species
CUGGCGGCAGGCCUAACACAUGCAAGUCGAACGGUAACAGGAAGAAGCUUGCUUCUUUGCUGACGAGUGGCGGACGGGUGAGUAAUGUCUGGGAAACUGCCUGAUGGAGGGGGAUAACUACUGGAAACGGUAGCUAAUACCGCAUAACGUCGCAAGACCAAAGAGGGGGACCUUCGGGCCUCUUGCCAUCGGAUGUGCCCAGAUGGGAUUAGCUAGUAGGUGGGGUAACGGCUCACCUAGGCGACGAUCCCUAGCUGGUCUGAGAGGAUGACCAGCCACACUGGAACUGAGACACGGUCCAGACUCCUACGGAGGCAGCAGUGGGGAAUAUUGCACAAUGGGCGCAAGCCUGAUGCGGCCAUGCCGCGUGUAUGAAGAAGGCCUUCGGGUUGUAAAGUACUUUUCAGCGGGGAGGAAGGGAGUAAAGUUAAUACC